CAUAAACACACACACGGCAGCUGCGUGUGGCUCUCUCUCCCAAACUGCUGCAUCCGGCUCGUCUUUAUCCCUCUCCUCGGCUGAUUAGCCCGAUUGGGGGUCAGGUGUGUGCACUCACGGCCCGGCCCCACCCUCCUCCUUGUCACAAUGUGAUUUACUAUGUAUGUAUUAACUUGUAUCGUUAAACUGUCUUUUUCUUUAUACAGUAAUACACCUUAUUUCAGCAAGGACUUCCCUUUUCUCUCUUUUCAUAUAUGACAAACAGACAGAUAUACUGACAGACAGACAGAUCUAUUGACAGACAGACAGAUAUAUGGAUGGGCGGACAGACAGACAGACAGACAGAUAGACAGAUUGCAAGGCAGAUCUUUUCAGACAGAAACGUGGCAGUAAGUACAGUCUUAGUCCUGUCAGCAACUAAGUCAACAAAGUAGAUAAAUCUCUUACGUUCUCAUGCAAAUAACAAUGUUGUCUGACCACUGCAUUUCACAGAGCCAAAUAUAACACUGAGAUUAAACCAUAAGAUCCAGGACACCUUAAAAAUAGCAGGUUGUAGCAGAUGUCUGCCUGUUCUGGUGUAAUUGUCACAGCCUUAUAUACUAUAUGCAGGUUUAAAGCAUUAAACCUAAUUUGGUGAACACCUUUUAGCUCUUCCUUUCUGUUUUUAGCUAAAGUGUGCUAUGGGUGCAGCUGAGGUGUGUAAAAUUUCAAUUAAUUUUUUAUCUGAUUAAUAUGGCUGUUUCAACUUAAACAAAAAUCCCAGAGUGUUCCUUAAAUUCAACUAACCACAAAACUACUGUAUUACAAUAAACAUUAUUUACAUACAGUAAUUAGAUACAUGGUAUUUGAUGCACAGUUGAUAUAUAAUGUUUUGACAGAUUAACAUAUUUUAGGUUAAAAUUUACAUGAAUGUAUAAGGGAAAUGUAUAUUUUAGGUUUACAUUUCUUUUAAGUUUUUCCACAAUUAUUAAAAGGAAUAUUCCAGGUUCAGUACAAGUUAAGCUCAAUCAACAGCACUGUUGAUUACCACAAAAAUGAAUUUUGACUAUUUCUUUAAAAAAGCAAAUAUCUGGGUUACUGUGAGGCACUUACAACUGAAGUGAAUGGGGCCAAUCCGUAAAUGUUAAAAUGCUCACUGUUUCAAAAGUAUAGCCGCAAGACAUAAACAAUGUGUGUUAACAUGACUUUAGUGUGAUAAAAUCGCUUACUAACCUUUUCUGUGUAAAAUUAUAUACAAUUUUACAACUUUGCCAUGACAACAAAAUGCUGUAAACCCAUAAAAAUGACAAUUUAAACAACUUUACAGUCUGAAGAAUGAAUGCAAGUGCUUAUAUUAAAUUAUAACCUUCAAAUUUCUGCCUUUAAACCCUCAAAAAAUUGGCCCCAUUCACUUCCAUUGUAAGUGCCUCAUUGUAACCUCGAUUUUGGCUUUUUAUAAAGAAAAGGAAGGAUGAGCUGAAAUACAUUGUUGUGGCAAUCAACAUAUUGCCACAAAUGCUGUUGAUUGAGCUUAACUUGUAUUGAACUCAGAACAUUCCUAAUUGCCUUUUUGCCCUCAACUUAAAUGGUCCUGUGGUGAGACAAAUAUUUUUUUUAAAGUUACAGUAGCUCAUUAAAGCUAUGCAUGCAUUAUAUGUAUCAAAUAGUUAUCAAAAUGCUGUUUAAAAUAGUUUUAGAUUAAGUAUAGCAUGUCACAUCGCAGGACAUCUCAACUUCCCAAAGUAUUUAGUGACAGCUACCCCCAUACAUUAACAGGACCCUUUAUCCAAUUGUCAACAAAUCUCUAUACUCACUGAAAACAUUUAAUUGAACAUUCCAUAUUCAGUCAAUCCCAAACAACAGUGUGUUACCAGACUGUAGAAUUCUUAACUUGCCUUGAUUCUUUCAUUCUGAAGACAUAAUCAUUUACCACACUCAGAGAGUAAGACAUUAGGUCAGAGUUGCGGCCCACCAGACCUUUCCCCAAUGGAUCUCUGAGGACCUGCUCUUCAACAAAAUCCUGUGACUGAGAUCAAAUUGAAAUGUUGUUGGCAGCUGUUGUAAUACUGAGUGGCUACAUUUACAUGCACCCUCAUAAUGCGAUUAUGCGAUUAAGGCAGUGGUUCUCAAAGUGUGGGGCACGCCCUGUAGGGGGGGCGCGAAGGUAUAGUAAGAGGGGCGCGGAAGACUGACCCGUUCUCAAAUAAUUUUCACACAUUCAGCAAAAAUAGUGACAAUACACGCAAGAACCAAUGUGCGCAAUUUCUACACCUCUGCUUUUUCUCCUGCUUUAUUUAAACUUUUGGCGCGAAAGUUUUUGUUGUUUCAAAGCGGGGCAUGACCAAAUAAAUUUGAGAACCACUGGAUUAAGGCAAUACUGUUAUGUAAAUAGAAUAUUGCGAUUAUGCUAAUAAUCAGAGUAAUUAUAAAUCGCAGUAAGAUAUGUGGAGUACUCCUAUUUUAAUCACUUUAUUCUGGCAUGUAAAUGAUUUAAUCGCAUUUCUUCCACUCUGACCAAAGUGCCUUUGCGCCAGUGCUGCAGAUGCAUGAUGUUACGCUCAAGCACAGUUUCAAAAAUGUAACAGAAGUUGCACUUAGCCUACUUCUCGGCUUCAUGCAAAACGGCAUUUUCUUGCACUGUUUUCAAGCAGUGGUGCUCCCCAACAGCAGAAUCUACAGCCCCACGGAAAAAGAAAACACAUUUUCCCAAGUUGUGAUUGUCCGUUUGCAGUCUAAAUUGACUGUUGGUGAGAUAAAAAGACUGUAUACCGAAAAAAAAAAAAGAUGGCAAGUACAUCUUUCAGGUGGAAUACAACAACAUCCAACGCGUGUAUUUCGAUUCAAACAAGUGACUCUUAUGAACCAAUUCUUUUAAGUGAAACAAAACAGACAUAGCAACCAGUGUAAUCUGACAAACAAAUGACUCUUAUUAACUAAUUAUUUUUAGUGAAUCAAAAGAUACAGCGCAUCCAAUGUAGUCAGAGAAACAAAUGACUCUUAUGAACGCACAUCCAGUGUAGUCGAAAAUUACUUUUAUUAACCGGUUCUUUUAAUAAAUAAUUCAAAAAGAUUAAAAACCUGACUGACUAAUUUUCCUUAUGCCAAGCUGUAUUUAAAGAUACAUAUUUGCAACAAGAUGUUUUUUCAUCAUUAAAACACAUUUCUCAGUGGAUAAUCAGAGUAUUGGCAAGUAGCAUGUAAACUGCAUUGAAGAGGUUUGCCCAAAUCAUGUAAACAUCUUAAUCUAAUUAUUCCUUAUCCUCUGAUUAUUGCAAUAAUCAGAGUAUUGGUGUACAUGUAAAUGUAGCCAGUGAGUAUAGUCAAGUGUCAUUUAGGUGGAGUGCUCAUUGUUACUGCAGUGUAAACAUUCAGGGCAGCUGCGGUGAGGUCCCAUUGGUCAGCUUCCUCUCUACUCUCUGCACAGCACACACACACUUCCUGCCAGGCAUGCAAGGUCAGAGCAUAGCUAAAUUUAGUGCCAUUAUCCUUUGCUUACAGUCCUCAUCUGUUUUAGCUUUAUAAAAGCCACUAAGCUGCCUCUUGACCAGAUCAUACCAAACAGCAUUCAGUUGGGGAUAGAACGUGAGCACAAGAAUCGUCACUAAACUGCAUUACACCAGUGUCAUCCUACAGGAUUUUAGUGCAGGAUGAAACCCAGAAGAUUACUACUGUCUGUGGCUCCUCUACCAACAAUAACAGAGACACACGAGGAUCUCUCUCAGUCCCUGGAAGAAUAUGUGAACUCCAUAAAAGAGCUUGCGCAGCCUGCCUGUGGAUAUCCAUUGAGGAUAGCCAGGUCUCAGAGAACUCGUCUCUUUUUGAAGCCCCUGGUUAAGCACGCUGGCUCUACAUCCAUGCCACGCAGUGCUUCCCGAGCUCUGCAGCCCCACCGUGCUUCCCUCGGCCUGGGCGAAAUUACACUGAGGUUCAGCAGCCAGACAGACUAUGGUGCUAAAGAUCCACUGGACUGGUUGUUUGGACAGAUGCAGUUACAAUCACAUGACGAGGAUUUGCGGAGGACUGAAAGCGCACCUGCUGAUUUGUGGUUACUCUAAUGAGCCAAA